CUGAUCUGGGAACAAUUUAUACCCCCUCUUGUGCUGGUGCAGAUAACUAUGAAAGGACCUGGAUGCACAGGACAUGUUUACACUGAUGUAAAUCACAGCAGGAUCAGGAGUGGACUGAUGUGCAGCUGUCUCAGGAUAACUGUGUCCAGAAGGUUGCUUUGUGAAGCCCCAGCGACUCUUUCUUUCUUUCCUUCUUCGGUUUGAAUUUACGAGAUGCUUCCUACUUCCAGCAAGGCAGUGAAAAAGCAUUUGAACGAAAGAGGUGCUGGCCUCCACUGGAGGACUCCCCGUCUACAGCGCGUGAUUGAUGCAGCCAACACAACAAGAACCUAAGCCUAGACCUGCUGGGUUCAGAAAUGAACUGAGACUGGAGCAGUUUUUCUCUCCGUACAUACUGGCUCAAUGGAAUCGAGGCAUUUUUCAGGAACGUAUGGGUUUUUGUCAAAGAAGUGUAAAGGAAAUUAUUGAAAUAUUUUAUUUUGAUGGAGUGUAAUAUGUACAUAGCGAAAUGAAACAUUUUGAAAGUUACUCCAAAAAGUCCAAGAUCUUAACUUUUUGUCCCAAUUCAGGACAAAACCACAUUUUAGAGUUUCAUUUUUCAACCAGUGCUAGCAGUUUUAAAAGGAGACUUUUACAAGGGGGUUGAAUUUAUUCCCUUUCAGUGGACAUUAUAUUUAAAUUAUAAACAUUUAGGGGAAGGGACCUUGUCUUUGUACCUGUAUGGAAAGCACAGUGUAUGGUGCUAUAAAAUUGAUAUCUAAAACAGGGAGGGAAUGAAAAGAAUUUGCUUUACCAUCAGCAGUAGGAACUGAACGAGAGGGAUGUUUGUCUUGUACUGUUGUAUAGCAUUAAUUCUACUGUUCUUCUGAAGUAUUACUUCCUUGGCUUAGUUUCUUUACUCACUGUAUAUUUAUUUCUUUGCUCUUUUCUUCUGGCUGCGCUCUGUUUAUUUUAUAAUGCUGUUUUACAUCCCUUUGUAUUCAAAGCGUGUCAUACGCAAACAUGUGUAUUUUUUCACAAUGAAGUCGAUGUGCUCUUUGCAUUGAAUUCAGGGGUUCUCAAGCUUGUUAGAUUGCAGGGCACCCAUCGGAAAACACCAGCUCUUAGCUUUCACUUGUAUUUUUGACUGUUGAAGAAUAAUUUUUAAAUUUUACUAUGAAAGAAUAACCACUCCAUUAUUUUUUCUUUAAAAAAAUGGAGAAAGCCCACGACAGGUUAGAAUGACAUGGGCACUAUGGAUUCCUAUUUAAAGCUCUGGGUUUAUCUUGCUUGCAUACCUAACCAGACUAAUUUUAUGUGGCCCCUUUACCCAAGGGCGCAUGGCACCAUGAUUGAGAAUCGUUGAUCUAAUUGUUACAAGCUGGAAAAAAACUUGUUUUUUUUUUUAAACACAUUGUCCACUGAAUAAAAGACUAUGCUUCUACCCUG